CAGAGUAGGGCCCUCCGCGUCAAGUGCUGCCAAAAUGGGGAGUUGUCUGGCAGACGAAGGAUCAUAUUCCGCGAUGGAAGGCCCGCACCCGCUGU
rnacentral:ncRNA from 1 species